GUGCCAGCAGCCGCGGUAAUACGGAAGGUCCGGGCGUUAUCCGGAUUUAUUGGGUUUAAAGGGAGCGUAGGCUGUCUAUUAAGCGUGUUGUGAAAUUUACCGGCUCAACCGGUGGCUUGCAGCGCGAACUGGUCGACUUGAGUAUGCAGGAAGUAGGCGGAAUUCAUGGUGUAGCGGUGAAAUGCUUAGAUAUCAUGACGAACUCCGAUUGCGCAGGCAGCUUACUGUAGCAUAACUGACGCUGAUGCUCGAAAGUGCGGGUAUCAAACAGGAUUAGAUACCCUGGUAGUCCGCACGGUAAACGAUGGAUGCUCGCUAUUCGUCCUAUUUGGAUGAGUGGCCAAGUGAAAACAUUAAGCAUCCCACCUGGGGAGUACGCCGGCAACGGUGAAACUCAAAGGAAUUGACGGGGGCCCGCACAAGCGGAGGAACAUGUGGUUUAAUUCGAUGAUACGCGAGGAACCUUACCCGGGCUUGAACUGCCAGCGAACGAUACAGAGAUGUUGAGGCCCUUCGGGGCGCUGGUGGAGGUGCUGCAUGGUUGUCGUCAGCUCGUGCCGUGAGGUGUCGGCUUAAGUGCCAUAACGAGCGCAACCCUUUUCUUUAGUUGCCAUCAGGUAAUGCUGGGCACUCUAUGGAUACUGCCACCGUAAGGUGUGAGGAAGGUGGGGAUGACGUCAAAUCAGCACGGCCCUUACGUCCGGGGCUACACACGUGUUACAAUGGGGCAUACAGAGUGUUGGCUUAACGCAAGUUUGGUCUAAUCUUCAAAGUGUCUCCCAGUUCGGAUUGGGGUCUGCAACCCGACCCCAUGAAGCUGGAUUCGCUAGUAAUCGCGCAUCAGCCAUGGCGCGGUGAAUACGUUCCCGGG
rnacentral:rRNA from 1 species